CCCCGAAACAUACUAGAUUCAUAAGGCUCCUCCCUUCCCAAGGUUAUGUAAGUGGUAAUGACUGCUGAGGAGAGAUGACUCUUCAAUGUGUUGAGUUGCCUGCAAGUUGUGCAGAGAGUUCCAUAGCUGCAGCUUUUGUGGCCUGGGCUCUGGAAUUCUUAAUUGCUCCUUGAUAGUGCUAAAAAGGCUGAGAGCUGAGAACUGCGUCCUGAGGCCUGUGGAUCACAGAGAGCUGUGAUCCUACCUUGAACCCAGGAGCUAUUAGAUGCCUCAGGAUGUGGGCAUGCUUGAGUGAUCCGGGCCACCCACUUCAUCCCAAGCACAGCCCAAAUUGUUCACAGGCAGGUCUUCCUCUUCAAGGCAUCAGUGAUGGCUUUCAGAAGAACUUCCAGGGUCCUGGGGCCAUACCAGUAACUUCCUAGGCAUCCGAGUCAAGACAAGAUCCAUGGCCUCUGCCUCUCAGGGAAAGUAAAGGGCUACAAAGUCCCCUACUGGUGACAUUCAACAGCCAGC